AUUUUUUUUUUUAUAUGAAUAUUCUUUGCGAGAUUUUAGUGUGAUUAUCAAUUUUCAUUGAGACAUUAUUUUGUAGUCAAUUCUACAACUUUAGUAUUUAUCAUGAAUUGUAUAAUGAUGUGAUUAUCAUGAAUUUAUAAUGAUAUACAUUUUCCGCACUAUGCAAUUUUGUUGAAUGUAACAUUCCACAGUAAAUGAAGCUGCGAUAUCGUAGCGAAAACCAAACUUUUAUGCAAAAAUAAAUUAAAAGAGAGAUCAUUAAAAAAAAAAUUGGAGCCAGUGAUGUAAAAACAUUAUAAUAUUUAUGCAUCGAUAAAAAUUCAAAACUGGCUUAAUGAACAUUUAUAUAAUUCAAUCCAUGAAAACAUCUUUUUACAUCAAUGAAUUUAAACUAUGCAAUUUUACAUUGUGUGUAUACAUGUAUGUACAUGCUGAGGUUGGUUUCAUUUUUGUUAUCAUGAAAAAGAAAUUAUGAUUACCUGAAUAUGUACUGGUAAGUGGGUUAUAUGACAAUUGUUAUGAAAUAUCAUCAGGUUGAGAGUGUGUCUAGAAUGUUUUGUGUUAUUAAAUUCUACAUGUACUUUU
rnacentral:sRNA from 1 species